rnacentral:rRNA from 1 species
GCGGACGGGUGAGUAACGCGUAGGCAACCUGCCUCACACAGAGGGAUAGCCAUUGGAAACGAUGAAUAAUACCUCAUGAAACCGGAACAACACAUGUUGAUCCGGUCAAAGAUUUAUCGGUGUGAGAUGGGCCUGCGUCUGAUUAACUAGUUGGUGAGGUAACGGCUCACCAAGGUGACGAUCAGUAGCCGACCUGAGAGGGUGAUCGGCCACAUUGGAACUGAGACACGGUCCAAACUUCUACGGAAGGCAGCAGUAGGGAAUCUUGCACAAUGGGCGAAAGCCUGAUGCAGCAACGCCGCGUGAAGGAUGAAGGCCUUCGGGUUGUAAACUUCUGUUCCCGGGGACGAAGAAAGUGACGGUACCCGGGCAGCAAGCCCCGGCUAACUACGUGCCAGCAGCCGCGGUAAUACGUAGGGGGCAAGCGUUAUCCGGAAUUAUUGGGCGUAAAGAGUGCGUAGGCGGUUAUGUAAGCGUGAGGUUUAAGGCAGUGGCUUAACCACUGUUCGCCUUGCGAACUGCAUAACUUGAGUGCAGGAGGGGAAAGCGGAAUUCCUAGUGUAGCGGUGAAAUGCGUAGAUAUUAGGAGGAACACCAGCGGCGAAGGCGGCUUUCUGGACUGCAACUGACACUGA